GACAUGAUGGCAGAUAGUGUC
rnacentral:piRNA from 1 species